AUUGAACGCUGGCGGAAUGCUUUACACAUGCAAGUCGAACGGCAGCACGGGGGCAACCCUGGUGGCGAGUGGCGAACGGGUGAGUAAUACAUCGGAACGUGCCCAGUCGUGGGGGAUAACGUAGCGAAAGCUACGCUAAUACCGCAUACGAUCUACGGAUGAAAGCGGGGGAUCGCAAGACCUCGCGCGAUUGGAGCGGCCGACGGCAGAUUAGGUAGUUGGUGGGGUAAAGGCUCACCAAGCCUUCGAUCUGUAGCUGGUCUGAGAGGACGACCAGCCACACUGGGACUGAGACACGGCCCAGACUCCUACGGGAGGCAGCAGUGGGGAAUUUUGGACAAUGGGCGAAAGCCUGAUCCAGCCAUUCCGCGUGCAGGAUGAAGGCCCUCGGGUUGUAAACUGCUUUUGUACGGAACGAAACGGCCUUUUCUAAUACAGAGGGCUAAUGACGGUACCGUAAGAAUAAGCACCGGCUAACUACGUGCCAGCAGCCGCGGUAAAGUGUAG
rnacentral:rRNA from 1 species